UCAAAACUUUUAACAACGGAUCUCUUGGUUCUGGCAUCGAUGAAGAACGCAGCGAAAUGCGAUAAGUAAUGUGAAUUGCAGAAUUCAGUGAAUCAUCGAAUCUUUGAACGCACAUUGCGCCCGCCAGCAUUCUGGCGGGCAUGCCUGUUCGAGCGUCAU
rnacentral:rRNA from 1 species